rnacentral:pre_miRNA from 1 species
GGUAUAAGGACAUUGACUGGCCACGCGUAUUCUUAGGUUAUUAACAUGUCUACGAAAUUGUUAUUGCUUGAGAAUACACGUAGUUAACACGUCCGUAACAUC